UGAGUGGCGAACGGGUGAGUAACACGUGAGUAACCUGCCCUCUUCUUUGGGAUAACGCCCGGAAACGGGUGCUAAUACUGGAUAUUCACUGAUCCUCGCAUGGGGGUUGGUGGAAAGGUUUUUUCUGGUGGGGGAUGGGCUCGCGGCCUAUCAGCUUGUUGGUGGGGUGAUGGCCUACCAAGGCUUUGACGGGUAGCCGGCCUGAGAGGGUGACCGGUCACAUUGGGACUGAGAUACGGCCCAG
rnacentral:rRNA from 1 species